rnacentral:pre_miRNA from 1 species
AAGCUUCACGAAUUCACAGGCCCUAUCUUAUGGUAUGAACUGAGUACACGGUGAUUUAUGGUGCAUAGAGGGCUUACCAUAAAACAGGGCCGUGAAUUCACGAAGCAU